UACGUAGGGGGCAAGCGUUGUCCGGAUUUAUUGGGCGUAAAGAGCGUGUAGGCGGCUAUACAGGUCCGCUGUGAAAACUCGAGGCUCAACCUCGAGACGUCGGUGGAAACCGUAUGGCUAGAGUCCGGAAGAGGAGAGUGGAAUUCCUGGUGUAGCGGUGAAAUGCGCAGAUAUCAGGAAGAACACCUAUGGCGAAGGCAGCUCUCUGGGACGGUACUGACGCUGAGACGCGAAAGCGUGGGGAGCGAACAGG
rnacentral:rRNA from 1 species